CACCGCUGACCUUUGCUCCCUCUCACAUGCCAUACCCUCCACCCACAACCACGGGCAUCAAACGUAGUCUAGGAUAAUCCCUUCGCUUCUGCCGAGGGUAGCCAGAGGCCCGAGAAGACAGUUUUGCACGUCUUUCUCCUCGGUAUGGGGCUUCAGCACGGCCUACACGGAGGACACACACACGAGAGAGUGACUGUGCGCGAUGUUGUGCAUGCACUCUGCAAGCAAGGCCACACACUCUACGCAGACGAGUUGUGCAACUGCAGAGUUAUUGCACACAUCCAUAGACAUAUUCUUCGCCCUGCUUCUUGUUUGUUUCAGCUUGUCCUUCUCCCCACCCCCGGAUGACGGUGGGGAGAGCCAGUGCGUGGCAUCACAGGGCUGCGUGUAUUUUCAGUCUGUGGGGAAGCAAAGCAGCCCUGCUAUCCCCCCCCCCUACCGAUGCGGAGCCACCUCUGAUGGUGACAGGGCCAAGCACCUACGGCGUAGGGGGAGGCCGGCGCUAUGCACCGCUGCUGAUGCCGGCGGUGAUGUGGAGGAUGGCGUUGCUCCGGAGCGACCUGCGACCGUGGACACGUGUGUGCCGCCGAUACGAUGGGCGAAGUGUCAGCGCGACUGCAGCGCAUCUCACCCGGCCCUGACUGUGCUGGUGGUGAGGGGAGCCUGAGCGCCCGCCCACGGCUGCACCGCGUGCUGGUUGGGACAAUGCGAGCGUCUGCGAGGCGACCUGCGGGGCGGAUGUGGGUGGGUCGAGCUUGAGGCGGAUGCCGUGCUCAGAUGACUGAGUGGGCGCGUUGCCGUGGCGUGUGUGUGUGUGUGCG
rnacentral:misc_RNA from 1 species